CAACAGGGAUUGCCCUAGUAACGGCGAGUGAAGCGGCAACAGCUCAAAUUUGAAAUCUGGCUUCGGCCCGAGUUGUAAUUUGCAGAGGAUGUUUCUGGCGCGGUGCCUUCCGAGUUCCCUGGAACGGGACGCCAUAGAGGGUGAGAGCCCCGUAUGGUUGGAUACCAAGCCUGUGUGAAACUCCUUCGACGAGUCGAGUAGUUUGGGAAUGCUGCUCAAAAUGGGAGGUAAAUCUCUUCUAAAGCUAAAUAUUGGCCAGAGACCGAUAGCGCACAAGUAGAGUGAUCGAAAGAUGAAAAGCACCUUGAAAAGGGGGUUAAACAGUACGUGAAAUUGUUGAAAGGGAAGCGCUCAUGACCAGACUUGUGCUGGGCAGCUCAUCCGGGGUUCUCCCCGGUGCAUUCUGCCCAGUUCAGGCCAGCAUCGAUUUUUGCUGGGGGAUAAGAACGGUAGGAACGUGGCCCUCCUUCGGGAGGGUGUUAUAGCCUACCGUACGAUACCCUAGCGGAGAUCGAGGUUCGCGCAUCUGCAAGGAUGCUGGCGUAAUGGUCAUCAGCGACCCGUCUUGAAACACGGACCAAGGAGUCGUCCAUUAGAGCGAGCGUUUGGGUGUAAAACCCGCACGCGUAAUGAAAGUGAAAUUAGGUGAGAGCUUCGGCGCAUCAUCGACCGAUCCUGAUGUUCUCGGAUGGAUUUGAGUAAGAGUUUUAACGGACGGACCCGAAAGACAGUGAACUAUGCUUGUAUAGGGUGAAGCCAGAGGAAACUCUGGUGGAGGCUCGCAGCGGUUCUGACGUGCAAAUCGAUCGUCAAAUAUGAGCAUGGGGGCGAAGACUAAUCGAACUGUCUAGUAGCUGGUUACCGCCGA
rnacentral:rRNA from 1 species